CCUACGGGAGGCAGCAGUGAGGAAUAUUGGUCAAUGGACGAGAGUCUGAACCAGCCACGUAGCGUGAAGGAUGACUGCCCUAUGGGUUGUAACCUUCUUUUAUAAAGGAAUAAAACGAGGCACGUGUGCCUUUUUGCAUGUACUUUAUGAAUAAGGAUCGGCUAACUCCGUGCCAGCAGCCGCGGUAAUACGGAGGAUCCGAGCGUUAUCCGGAUUUAUUGGGUUUAAAGGGAGCGUAGAUGGGUUGUUAAGUCAGUUGUGAAAGUUUGCGGCUCAACCGUAAAAUUGCAAUUGAUACUGGCAGUCUUGAGUACAGUUGAGGUAAGCGGAAUUCGUGGUGUAGCGGUGAAAUGCUUAGAUAUCACGAAGAACCCCGAUUGCGAAGGCAGCUUACUAAACUGUGACUGACAUUGAUGCUCGAAAGUGUGGGUAUCAAACAGGAUUAGAUACCCGUGUAGUC
rnacentral:rRNA from 1 species